rnacentral:rRNA from 1 species
GAUGAACGCUAGCGGCAGGCCUAAUACAUGCAAGUCGAGGGGCAGCGCGGUAGCAAUACUGGCGGCGACCGGCGCACGGGUGCGUAACACGUAUGCAACCUACCUUCAACUGGAGGAUAGCCCGGAGAAACUCGGAUUAAUACUCCAUAACACAGGGAUCCCGCAUGGGAAUAUUGUUAAAGCUACGGCGGUUGAAGAUGGGCAUGCGUUCGAUUAGCUAGUUGGUGUAGGUAACGGCUCACCAAGGCUACGAUCGAUAGGGGGUCUGAGAGGAUGAUCCCCCACACUGGUACUGAGAUACGGACCAGACUCCUACGGGAGGCAGCAGUAGGGAAUAUUGGUCAAUGGGCGCAAGCCUGAACCAGCCAUGCCGCGUGCAGGAAGAAGGGCCCCUCUGGGGUUGUAAACUGCUUUUGAUAGGGAACAAAUGCCACUUGCGAGUGGAGCUGAGUGUACCUAUAGAAUAAGCACCGGCUAACUCCGUGCCAGCAGCCG